CAUGCACGAUCACUAACCCCGAGCCUAGAGAGGAACUCCGCCUCUUGAAGAGAGGCAGGGAAAUUCAGCUUGAGUUUAGCCGCGGAUUAGUUUGAGACCUGCACUGACUGCAUCCCCAGGGCGUUUCAUCUCUUCUGCUUUUAUUUGUAUAACCCUGUUUCCACUGUGCCUUCUGAACCCAGACUCAUGAGCUCUCAAGUGCCACCGCUGGAUGUCAGAGAAUGAUGGCUGCUGUUGUUAGUGCUUCCUAGCCAGCACUCGAACUACUCCUGUCUGCCUCCGCUCAGACCCAAUACCUCCUGCCAGUUGUGAAUUAGACUUCUGAGAUAAGGAAGGCUAAAUUCAGGAAGGUUUGCACAAGAGAGCCAGUUUUUAAAUGCUGACACACAGAGGAAGAAGUCUUGAAGAGUAGCAGCCAAUCAACGGAGAAACGGCUGCUUCCUCAAGGC